rnacentral:lncRNA from 1 species
CUGGUGGCUGCAGCGCACCAUUAACAUUGGAUGCCAACCGCUUUUAAACCCCAUCAUAGAAGAAGAAAAAUAUUUCAGUGAUGACAUCACAGCUAUCAAUCCUUUACCAAGUGCAGCUUGCCACCUGCUGUGAACACAAAUCUCAGUUUUUGGACAUUAUUCCGUUCUAAUUAAUUUAUUCAUCACUGUGUGUAAAUACCAGAACUGUAAAUAUGGUAUUUGUUUUAUCCAUAUUUCACUGACAGUUGUCAAUACUUUAAGAAUAUUUGCAUAAUUAUUAAAGCAUUAUGUAUCUAUUUUUUGAUGCUAGCUAUCUAACAUUAAUAGCUACAUUUUUGCCUGUCAUUGUUUAACUGGCUAGUCUGAUGUUGCUAUCUACUUGUAUUUUGGUUUCAGUCAUUGGAUUAUUAUAACAGAUGAGGAGCUGUAUAUCUUGUUUUGUAAUUGUUAAAUGAAUAUGUGCCUUGUCUUAGUCUACAUGUCAUUUUUAUCAUGUUUAUUAUUUCCACACCACAUCUUGUAUGGAUAAAUGGAAAGUUAAUUGUUUAAUCACAGCUGAGUGCAGGGCUGGUCCUGGCCUUUCUGCCACAAUUGUCGUCCCAGUAAGCAAAAUGACGUCUAAAAUACAUGUUUUCCAGACGUUGAAGUUAGGUUCAAUUUAGGUUCUGAAUGAAAGGUGAAAAGACGUCAUUGAUAGAUGUCUAUGUUUAGACCAAAUCAAGGCUGGCCCAGACCGGACAAAAUCUGAACCAAAAAAAGAUGUCCGGACAGGACCAAAAAAUACAGCCUAAAGGCAUCAGCCUCAGUCCGUGCUUACUGGGGUACAGCCUACAGUACUGGGGUACAGCCUACAGUACUGGGGUACAGCCUACAGUACUGGGGUACAGCCUACAGUACUGGGGUACAGUCUACAGUACUGGGGUACAGCCUACAGUACUGGGGUACAGCCUACAGUACUGGGGUACAGCCUACAGUGUCGCCUGAAAUUACAUUUUAGGAAUGCCCAUCUACGUGAUAGGACUACUGUUUCGUAAAACACCAAAAAAAAGACGUCCGGAUAGGACCAAAAAAAGACAUCCAAAAGACGUUGGUGUUGGUCUGUGGUUACUGGGGUGUAGCCUACCAUGUAAACCUGCAAUGGAAUUUUAUGAAUGCCAAUCCUUAUGGUAGUCCCACCAUUUGUAAAACAUGCCGUUGCAUUGGCAAGUCCUGAUUUCUGUGACUAAUCAAUUUGGCUAUUUAAGCUCUGAAUUUCAGCUACCCAACUUUAUCAGUAGGAGUUAUCCUGAACCUAUUUGCAAUGUGUUAACACAGCGAGAAAUGCAGAAGUAUUUUAUUUUUUUGCUAUGAUCAGCAUGUAAAAAAAUGUAUACAAACUUGAAACAGCUGAUCAUAACAAUUUAGCCUAUGGGGUGAAACUCUUGGACAGCAGUUAUCUUCCUCUUCUGCUGUAUGAGGUGGAGUACUGGAGGAGGUGCCUGGGGCUGCCCCUGGGCUUCACGGAGACCCUGUCUGGCUUUCAGGAGGACUUGGCCGAUCUGGACGGUUCUUUGGGAUAGGGGUUCUGGGUCACAUGGGGGCAGAUCAAGGCUCUGGGUGGUUGUGGGUCAAUGUCAUAGCAAACCCCUGCAGAAACCAAAGGGCAGGGUCAAAGAAACCAACCCAAAUAAGUGACCCAACACCUGCAACCCAGCAGUUAGGUCAACCAAACAAACAGUACUUUUUUUGUAGCAGGCAUCGUGACCACCCAAGGGCUGAUCCUGGAGUCAACGUGGGACCCUCUGAGGAAACACAGCCUCCUGUUCAGUGUGUUAACAACCCGCUGGGUAAUCCUGGAGAGGUGGUCUACGACCUGUGGACAUGUCCCAUGAACCAGACACAUCUUCAUGGAGAGAGGAGUCAGAUUAACGAUGAAGAUCCAGAGGAACCCAUGGAGAUUAACGAUGAAGAGGAACCCAUGGAGAACAUCUGACACACGCUGUGUGCAUAUUUUAUCAUUUAAUAGAAUGCCUGUUUUAUAUAUUUGGGUUUUUUUUAAAGGCAAUUCCACCAAAGUAAUGCAAGUCUAUUGACUGUUCAGUGAUGAGUAAAAUGGGAAACUGAAGCAAAGAUCAUACACCAAGACAUAACCUCUGUGGUUAAUGGUAAUAGUGAGAGAUUAGCAUGUCUUGGGGGUAUGAUAUUUGACCCUCUGUAACAUUCUCACUCAUCAUAAUUCACAAUUCAUUCAGGAUUAUCCCUAAUCAUUGUAGCAUCCACAUUGUCAGUGGCGUCAUUAGGCCUUGGCUUCCGAGGCGGUUUUUGAUGGUAAAAGAAAAAU